UUUGGGGGGGGUUUGUGGGCUUUUGGGAGCUUCUGAGGCUUUUUGGAGCUUUUGGGGGCUUCUGGGGCUUUUUGGGGUGUUUGGGGGCUUUUUUGGGGUUUGGGGGGCUUUUGGGAGCCUUUUGAGGUUUUUGGGGGCUUCUGGGGCUUUUUAGGGCGUUGGGGGUCUUUGGGGGCUUCUGGGGGUUUUUGGGGCGUUUUGGGGCUUUGGGGGCUUUUUAGGAGCUUCUGAGGUUUUGGGGUGCUUUUGGGGGUUUCUGGGGCUCUUGGGGUCUUAAGGGUCCUGAGCCCCCAGUGGCCCCGUGCACGAGGCCCUGCGAGACCCCCCCUAACGGAGGGGAUUUGGGGCACCUGGUUGUACGGCGAAGUCCCGAAAACCCCAAUAAAUGUGCUUAGGGUGUGUGUGUGGGCACAGACCCGAGCUGUCCCGGGGCCGUUUGGUUUCUGUGGGCUCUGAGGGUGCGGGAUGUGAAGUUUUAGCUGAUUUAUUCCACCUUUUAGCCCAAUUUUAACGUUGCCAAGGCAAAUGGCUGGGAGCUGCCCGGGCAGGGCAGGAGGGAAAUCUGUUUUCUAUGCAUCCUCGUGGUGCCUGCUGGCUUCAGGCACCAAAAAGCGUCGUUUGGGGUGGUGUUGGUAGGAAUUGGGGCGUUUGGCUCGUUCCUUUAGGCGCAGGGCUUGCGGGUAGCUGGUGGUGCCCCUGCUCCGAGCCUUUGUAGGUGUUAAAAAAGGAGAAGUGGAGCCCUUGUCCCCAAAACGAGCCGGGACUCCUGCAGCUGCUCCGUGCCCCUGCUUUUCGGGUGCAUGGAGGAGGUCUCGGCACCGCAGCUGUCCGAAUCCUGUGGCAGCAAAGUUUGUGGCAGGCAUUUGGGCUAAAAUAUUCAGAUAUAAAAUGUCACUUGGUGGGACUUCUGGCACUGCUCUCCUCCCGUUCUGGGUGCUGCGGCUCCCCCCGGGUCCUCUCCCUGCCUCCGAGUGCCCUCUGCUGGAGCUCGCUCCCCUCUCUGCAGUGCCACCUUUGUCCCCGGGCUGCAGGGGAUCUGGUGAGGUUUGGUGCAAUUUGUGCAUGUCAUAAAACAGCCCUGGGGGGCCGAGUGUGGGUACAGGGGAGGGAUGCCACGAAACCUGCAUGGCUUUGAGCCCCAAAGGUGCCCUCUGUUUGCCAAACCGAGCUCGUUUGGCUCGCUUACUGGGGACCUGUCUCCAAAAUCGCUUAGUUUGACCCCAUUUCUUGUGACCCUAUUGAGUGCCUGUGACCCUAUUGAGUGCCUGCCCCGUUAGACAAGAGCACCCCAAAACGGGUGCCCUGUUUUUGCUCUAAAUCUCUGCUUUGUGCUGCAUCGGAUGGGGAGUAAGUGCUGGGACCGGACACCAGC
rnacentral:lncRNA from 1 species